AUUGAACGCUGGCGGCAUGCUUUACACAUGCAAGUCGAACGGCAGCGCGGUGCAACCUGGCGGCGAGUGGCGAACGGGUGAGUAAUACAUCGGAACGUACCCAGCCGUGGGGGUUAACGUAGCGAAAGUUACGCUAAUACCGCAUCCGUUCUACGGAAGAACGUGGGGGACCUUCGGGCCUCAUUCUUUUGGAGCGGCCGAUGUCUGCUUAGCUGGUUGGUGGGGUUAAGGCUCACCAAGGCGACGAGCUGUAGCGGGUGGGAGAGGACGACCAGCCACACUGGGACUGGGACAGGGCCCAGAGUCCUACGGGAGGCAGCAGUGGGGAACGUUGGACAAUGGGCGCAAGCAUGAUCCAGCAGUGCCGAGUGAGUGAAGAAGACCUCCGGUGUGUGAAGCUGUUUUGUCAGGGAAGAAACGGCUGAGGAUAAUACCAUCGGCUAAUGACGGUACCGGGAGAAUAAGCACCGGCUAACUACGUG
rnacentral:rRNA from 1 species